UCAUUUUGUAAUUUUUUUUAUUUAACCUUUAUUUUACUAAAUAAACAAAUAUGCCUAUGGCACAUCAAGGGAACUGUAGCCUACUGUUCAGAUGGCUUAAAUGGAAACUGACUGGACACUGACUGUAGGUCUAUAACCUCUCACAUAGCCUUAAUAUUAACUCCUGCAGAAUGAAGCAUUUCUUGCAGUAAAGGGGUACACCAAAUGUAGGCAACAUUAUAACUCGGGAACAGGAGUGGAGAAAUAAGAUUUAUUUCUUUCAGCAUCUUGAGAGAAUGCAAAUGUGUAGUUAAAAGAAAAUAGCACCUCUACAGACGGUCCCUAACUGUGGUUGAAAUACUAUCGGCUGUUAUGAUGUUGAUAAAAACAGCACCUUUACAGACGGUCCCUAUCUUUAUCAGCAUCGUAACAGCUGAUAGUAUUUUAACCACAUAAAAUAUGCAUCCAAGCUGACCUGAAAUCUAUCAGAAACAUGUUGGGUUGUUUUCACAGCUUUCUAUUUCCUUACAACCGGUCAAACUGAUUUCAUUUGGAAAGUUAUUGCAUUUUCACCCCGGUCCCUAAACAUCUUUGCUCUGUGAAAGAAGAAGAGAUGACAGAGAACUUUACCGACGUCAACUAAAUGUACGCAUUCAUUCUAUAGAUUUAUGACAUUAUUCAGGUGAGCAAAGGUUUAUUUAUUCUUCUAGGGCAACAUAUAAUGACAGAAGAGAAGCUGCACGUAUCUGAUUUUAGACAAGUUGACAAAUAGCCAAACAAAAUGUCAAAUUAUAAGCAGAAACAUUUUCUCUAUUAGCGGGUUAUGGUCGGGACACAGCGGGUUAGGGUCUGGACACAGCGGGUUAGGGUCGGGACACAGCGGGUUAGGGUCGGGACACAGCGGGUUAGGGUCUGGACACAGCGGGUUAGGGUCGGGACACAGCGGGUUAGGGUCGGGUGCGGGACACAGCGGGUUAGGGUCGGGACACAGCGGGUUAGGGUCGGGUGAGUGUUAACAAAGUUGAGCCACACACAACUAGCACACACUCUUACAGAUACACACAAAACAGAGUGAAAAUACGAUGGAGGCACAGAAAAAGGACUGCCGGGAUGCGCUCACAGUCGGGCAUAAGAGUGAGUGAUGGAAAUAAAUAAAUUAGUUUUGAGAAGUAAUUUAGGCCAAUCAUAACCUGCAGUCAAAAACACCUGAAAACACCUGUAGUGACAACCUGAGUGAAGGUAAUGACAGAGUCAGCGAUUGACAGAAAAGUCAACAACACACCAGGUAAGUAUAUAUAUAUAUAUAUAUAUAUUCAUAUAUUUUAAUAUUUAAACCCACUAAAAAGUUGUAAAUACAACUUUUGAAUGAAAGGCACAGUAAAAUCAGACACUGCUGAUAUAAUACUCAAAUGAAAAAUUACAGUACAAAAGCGAACAGUUAUUUACGCACAUACAAAUCCCUCCUCAAACAGCAGAACGAACCAAUCACAGUCCUCCAGGCCAGGGAAACAGGAAACAUUCCAAAACAAGCUAUAAAACAAUGUGUGUCCCAAAUGGCACCCUAUUCCCUAUGUAGUGCACUACUUUAGUAGCCUAGCUAAACAAGCCUGAUUCCCUAAAUCGAGCACUACUAUAGUAGCCUAGCUAAACAAGCCUGAUUCCCUAAAUAGAGCACUACUUUAGUAGCCUAGCUAAACCAGCCUGAUUCCCUAUAUAGAACACUACUAUAGUAGCCUAGCUAAACCAGCCUAUUUCCAUAUGUAGUGCGCUACUUUUGACCAGAGCCCUAUGGGUCGUAGCCUCAUGAAACCAAUAAAGUGAAACAGAAUGUGAGCUCGCAAGAUCAGGCUAGUUUAGCUAGGCUACUAAAGUAGUGCACUAUAUAGGGAAUCAGGCCGGUUUAGCUAGGCUACUAUAGUAGUGUUCUAUAUAGGGAAUCAGGCUGGUUUAGCUAGGCUACUAUAGUAGUGCUCUAUAUAGGGAAUCAGGCUGGUUUAGCUAGGCUACUAAAGUAGUGCACUACAUAGGAAACAGUACAUGUACUGUAUGGUGGAUUGUAUUGACUGUAAAUUACUAUCUGAUUGUGUUUAUAGACCUCUCAAAUGGCACCCUAUUCCCUAUUUAGAGCCAGAGGGUUUUGGUCAAAAGUAGUGCACUAUAUAGGGAAUAGGGUACCCUUUGGGGGGGACACUGUCUAUAUAGAAUGUAGUGUACAGCACUGACUGUUGGACAUUGUUUUUCUGUUCUCUAGCUCUGAGACAAAAGGACGUUGUUUUUCUGUUCCCCAGCUCUGAGACAAAAGGACGUUGUUUUUCUGUUCUCUAGCUCUGAGACAAAAGGACGUUGUUUUUCUGUUCUCUAGCUCUGAGACAAAAGGACGUUGUUUUUCUGUUCCCCAGCUCUGAGACAAAAGGACGUUGUUUUUCUGUUCUCUAGCUCUGAGACAAAAGGACGUUGUUUUUCUGUUCUCUAGCUCUGAGAUGAAAGGACGUUGUUUUUCUGUUCUCUAGCUCUGAGACAAAAGGACGUUGUUUUUCUGUCCUCUAGCUCUGAGACAAAAGGACGUUGUUUUUCUGUCCUCUAGCUCUGAGACAAAAGGACGUUGUUUUUCUGUUCCCCAGCUCUGAGACAAAAGGACGUUGUUUUUCUGUCCCCUAGCUCUGAGACAAAAGGACGUUGUUUUUCUGUCCCCUAGCUCUGAGACAAAAGGACGUUGUUUUUCUGUUCCCCAGCUCUGAGACAAAAGGACGUUGUUUUUCUGUCCUCUAGCUCUGAGACAAAAGGACGUUGUUUUUCUGUUCCCCAGCUCUGAGACAAAAGGACGUUGUUUUUCUGUUCUCUAGCUCUGAGAUGAAAGGACGCUGAGCUACAACAAACUUCUCACUAUUCAAAUUAACAUACAGUACAUUAUGAUUACUUGGGCUUUAAUUUAUUGGUCCACCAAGUGCAAAAUCAACCCAAAUGUGCUAAUUUGUUGGAGAUGAAAAAUACAGCCCAUUUAAAGCUUGAUGGCUCAAAGUGACGCUGAACAGUGAGGAGGCAACGUUUAAUACUGAACCCAAAACUCAGAGCUGUGAAAUUACAACAUGUGAGGAGCCAAAUCUGGGUUGUUGAGGAAGUAGAUAAAACGCACAGAACAAGACAGGAUCAGCAUUUCCCUUUUCAAACAGUCAGACAUGGAGUCAUUUAUCAAUUACAGCCUCUGUAGGUACUGCAGUCCAUCUGCAACGGCAAUGCGACAUUCAUACUGUGGCCCAAAUCUUACGGUCUGUUUGAAUACUUUGAAAAUGCAUCCAUCCUUCCUUUAUUUAUCUCUUGAAGUUAAUCACUGAUUUAACACAGAGAAGGGAGCCUGGUUAACCCUGGGCUUAGUUGUGAUUUAACACAGAGAAGGGAGCUUGGUUAACCCUGGGCUUAGUUGUGAUUUAACACAGAGAAGGGAGCUUGGUUAACCCUGGGCUUAGUUGUGAUUUAACACAGAAAAGGGAGCCUGGUUAACCCUGGGCUUAGUUGUGAUUUAACACAGAGAAGGGAGCCUGGUUAACCCUGGGCUUAGUUGUGAUUUAACACAGAGAAGGGAGCUUGGUUAACCCUGGGCUUAGUUGUGAUUUAACACAGAGAAGGGAGCCUGGUUAACCCUGGGCUUAGUUGUGAUUUAACACAGAGAAGGGAGCUUGGUUAACCCUGGGCUUAGUUGUGAUUUAACACAGAGAAGGGAGCCUGGUUAACCCUGGGCUUAGUUGUGAUUUAACACAGAGAAGGGAGCCUGGUUAACCCUGGGCUUAGUUGUGAUUUAACACAGAGAAGGGAGCCUGGUUAACCCUGGGCUUAGUUGUGAUUUAACACAGAGAAGGGAGCCUGGUUAACCCUGGGCUUAGUUGUGAUUUAACACAGAGUAGGGAGCUUGGUUAACCCUGGGCUUAGUUGUGAUUUAACACAGAGAAGGGAGCCUGGUUAACCCUGGGCUUAGUUGUGAUUUAACACAGAGAAGGGAGCUUGGUUAACCCUGGGCUUAGUUGUGAUUUAACACAGAGAAGGGAGCCUGGUUAACCCUGGGCUUAGUUGUGAUUUAACACAGAGAAGGGAGCUUGGUUAACCCUGGGCUUAGUUGUGAUUUAACACACAGAAGGGAGCCUGGUUAACCCUGGGCUUAGCUGUGAUUUAACACAGAGAAGGGAGCUUGGUUAACCCUGGGCUUAGUUGUGAUUUAACACACAGAAGGGAGCCUGGUUAACCCUGGGCUUAGUUGUGAUUUAACACAGAGAAGGGAGCUUGGUUAACCCUGACCCUGGGCUUAGCUGUGAUUUAACACAGAGAAGGGAGCCUGGUUAACCCUGGGCUUAGUUGUGAUUUAACACAGAGAAGGGAGCUUGGUUAACCCUGGGCUUAGCUGUGAUUUAACACAGAGAAGGGAGCUUGGUUAACCCUGGGCUUAGCUGUGAUUUAACACAGAGAAGGGAGCUUGGUUAACCCUGGGCUUAGUUGUGAUUUAACACAGAGAAGGGAGCUUGGUUAACCCUGGGCUUAGUUGUGAUUUAACACACAGAAGGGAGCCUGGUUAACCCUGGGCUUAGUUGUGAUUUAACACAGAGAAGGGAGCUUGGUUAACCCUGGGCUUAGUUGUGAUUUAACACACAGAAGGGAGCCUGGUUAACCCUGGGCUUAGUUGUGAUUUAACACAGAGAAGGGAGCUUGGUUAACCCUGGGCUUAGCUGUGAUUUAACACAGAGAAGGGAGCUUGGUUAACCCUGGGCUUAGUUGUGAUUUAACACAGAGAAGGGAGCUUGGUUAACCCUGGGCUUAGUUGUGAUUUAACACACAGAAGGGAGCCUGGUUAACCCUGGGCUUAGUUGUGAUUUAACACACAGAAGGGAGCCUGGUUAACCCUGGGCUUAGUUGUGAUUUAACACAGAGAAGGGAGCUUGGUUAACCCUGGGCUUAGUUGUGAUUUAACACAGAGAAGGGAGCUUGGUUAACCCUGGGCUUAAGUUG
ensembl:lncRNA